rnacentral:misc_RNA from 1 species
GAUGAAGAACGUAGCGAAAUGCGAUACGUAAUGUGAAUUGCAAAUUCAGUGAAUCAUCGAGUCUUUGAACGCACAUUGCGCCCCCUGGUAUUCCGGGGGGCAUGCCUGUCCGAGCGUCAUUGCUGCCCUCAAGCACGGCUUGUGUGUUGGGCCCCGUCCUCCGAUCCCGGGGGACGGGCCCGAAAGGCAGCGGCGGCACCGCGUCCGGUCCUCGAGCGUAUGGGGCUUUGUCACCCGCUCUGUAGGCCCGGCCGGCGCUUGCCGAUCAACCCAAAUUUUUUAUCCAGGUUGACCUCGGAUCAGGUAGGGAUACCCGCUGAACUUAAGCAUAUCAAUGCGGAGGA